AAGGAUCAUUACAGAGAACAAUCGCCCUCACGGGUGACUCUCCAACCCUUUGCUAUCUUACCUUUGUUGCUUUGGCGAGACGCCUCGGCCACCGGCUCCGGCUGGUGAGUGCUCGCCAGAGGACCCUAAACUCUGGAAUUUAUUAUCGUCUGAGUACUAUAUAAUAGUUAAAACUUUCAACAACGGAUCUCUUGGUUCUG
rnacentral:misc_RNA from 1 species